rnacentral:rRNA from 1 species
GACGAACGCUGGCGGCGUGCUUAACACAUGCAAGUCGAACGGAGAGGCCCUGCUUUUGUGGGGUGCUCGAGUGGCGAACGGGUGAGUAACACGUGAGUAACCUGCCCUUGACUUUGGGAUAACUUCAGGAAACUGGGGCUACUACCGGAUAGGAGCUCCUGCUGCAUGGUGGGGGUUGGAAAGUUUCGGCGGUUGGGGAUGGACUCGCGGCUUAUCAGCUUGUUGGUGGGGUAGUGGCUUACCAAGGCUUUGACGGGUAGCCGGCCUGAGAGGGUGACCGGCCACAAUGGGACUGAGAUACGGACCAGACUCCUACGGGAGGCAGCAGUGGGGAAUAUUGCACAAUGGGCGGAAGCCUGAUGCAGCAACGCCGCGUGUGGGAUGACGGCCUUCGGGUUGUAAACCGCUUUCGCCUGUGACGAAGCGUGAGUGACGGUAAUGGGUAAAGAAGCACCGGCUAACUACGUG